rnacentral:lncRNA from 1 species
GAAGGAAAUUUUGUGAAAAACAUGUUCAUUUAAGCAACAUCUAUAACAUGCAAUUAACAAUUAAAAGGCGGAAUCAUGCUUGUAUGCACUUAAAAACAAAACAUUAACCAUGAAAUUCAAAGCCUAGUAGAUUGGUGAACCUUGACUUAACUUAAAACAACAUUUGUUAGUUGAGAAAUUUUACCUUUGUAGAUUCCUCUUUGCAUAAGCAAAAGCUAAUCACCCAAAGAGAGGGCCUUCAUUCCUUACAUCUUAGAUCUAUGGAUUUGGAUGGAUGAAAUGGUUCUCUAAGUUCCUAAAAUUGAGAACCUCUAAGUCUCUUCACCAAGGUUAGAUUGGAGAAGAAAUGAGUGACCUUGGAGUAGUAGGAUUGCUAGCUAAACCCUCCAAGGAGGCCGGCCACUUUAGAGAGAAAGGAGAGCUUAUGUUCUCAUCCUUUCCCCAAAAGAAAAACCCUUAAUGAAUUUUGGCUAUAAAGUCAUAUUUAUACCUUAAUUCAUUGCAGUGGCAAACUUGUAAAUAAGUCCAAAACUCACUCCAUCUCUAAAUGGCCGGCCUUAGGGUAUUAUUGGGUUAAUUGGGCCUUUGUGAAUCAUUAUUCAUUAAGUUGUCAUACAACUUAAGUCAAUGGGCUUGACGUUCGAAGCCCAUUGGGCCUUAAGGUCCAAAACUAUCUCGAGGUCUUUAACGAACUUAUUCGUUUGAUUAAUUAACAUAUUAAUUAAUCCUUGCCAUAAAUAAUUAAACCAUUUAAUUAUUCUUACUCAUCUCCAUUGUUUCUUCAAUCUCCACCUUACACGGUGUACGAUCCAUUAGGUUCUUUUUAGCGAGGUAGUGAGCGUUUAAAACCAUUUCAAAUCGAUUGUGAA